GUGGGGAAUAUUGGACAAUGGGCGAAAGCCUGAUCCAGCCAUGCCGCGUGUGUGAAGAAGGUCUUCGGAUUGUAAAGCACUUUAAGUUGGGAGGAAGGGCAGUAAGUUAAUACCUUGCUGUUUUGACGUUACCGACAGAAUAAGCACCGGCUAACUUCGUGCCAGCAGCCGCGGUAAUACGAAGGGUGCAAGCGUUAAUCGGAAUUACUGGGCGUAAAGCGCGCGUAGGUGGUUUUGUAAGUUGGAGGUGAAAUCCCCGGGCUCAACCUGGGAACUGCCUCCAAAACUGCAUGACUAGAGUACGGUAGAGGGGAGUGGAAUUUCCUGUGGAGCGGUGAAAUGCGUAGAUAUAGGAAGGAACACCAGUGGCGAAGGCGACUACCUGGACUGAUACUGACACUGAGGUGCGAAAGCGUGGGGAGCAAACAGGAUUAGAUACCCGGGUAGUCC
rnacentral:rRNA from 1 species